rnacentral:rRNA from 1 species
CAGUAGCCGCGGGAAUACGAAGGGUGCAAGCGUUACUCGGAAUUACUGGGCGUAAAGCGUGCGUAGGUGGUGGUUUAAGUCCGUUGUGAAAGCCCUGGGCUCAACCUGGGAAUUGCAGUGGAUACUGGGUCACUAGAGUGUGGUAGAGGAUAGUGGAAUUUCCGGUGUAGCAGUGAAAUGCGUAGAGAUCGGAAGGAACAUCUGUGGCGAAGGCGACUAUCUGGGCCAACACUGACACUGAGGCACGAAAGCGUGGGGAGCAAACAGGAUUAGAUACCCGUGUAGUCCCUGUCUCUUAUAC